UUAAGCGACUAAGCGUACACGGUGGAUGCCCUGGCAGUCAGAGGCGAUGAAGGACGUGCUAAUCUGCGAAAAGCGCCGGCGAGGUGAUAUGAACCUUUGACCCGGCGAUGUCCGAAUGGGGAAACCCAGUGUGAUUCGUCACACUAUCGUUAACUGAAUACAUAGGUUAACGAGGCGAACCGGGGGAACUGAAACAUCUAAGUACCCCGAGGAAAAGAAAUCAACCGAGAUUCCCCCAGUAGCGGCGAGCGAACGGGGAGCAGCCCAGAGUCUGAAUCAGCUUGUGUGUUAGUGGAAGCGUCUGGAAAGUCGCACGGUACAGGGUGACAGUCCCGUACACGAAAACACACAGGUUGUGAACUCGAAGAGUAGGGCGGGACACGUGGUAUCCUGUCUGAAUAUGGGGGGACCAUCCUCCAAGGCUAAAUACUCCUGACUGACCGAUAGUGAACCAGUACCGUGAGGGAAAGGCGAAAAGAACCCCGGCGAGGGGAGUGAAAUAGAACCUGAAACCGUGUACGUACAAGCAGUGGGAGCACCUUCGUGGUGUGACUGCGUACCUUUUGUAUAAUGGGUCAGCGACUUAUAUUCUGUAGCAAGGUUAACCGUAUAGGGGAGCCGAAGGGAAACCGAGUCUUAACUGGGCGUUAAGUUGCAGGGUAUAGACCCGAAACCCGGUGAUCUAGCCAUGGGCAGGUUGAAGGUUGGGUAACACUAACUGGAGGACCGAACCGACUAAUGUUGAAAAAUUAGCGGAUGACUUGUGGCUGGGGGUGAAAGGCCAAUCAAACCGGGAGAUAGCUGGUUCUCCCCGAAAGCUAUUUAGGUAGCGCCUCGUGAACUCAUCUUCGGGGGUAGAGCACUGUUUCGGCUAGGGGGCCAUCCCGGCUUACCAACCCGAUGCAAACUACGAAUACCGAAGAAUGUUAUCACGGGAGACACACGGCGGGUGCUAACGUCCGUCGUGAAGAGGGAAACAACCCAGACCGCCAGCUAAGGUCCCAAAGUCAUGGUUAAGUGGGAAACGAUGUGGGAAGGCACAGACAGCCAGGAUGUUGGCUUAGAAGCAGCCAUCAUUUAAAGAAAGCGUAAUAGCUCACUGGUCGAGUCGGCCUGCGCGGAAGAUGUAACGGGGCUAAACCAUGCACCGAAGCUGCGGCAGCGACACUAUGUGUUGUUGGGUAGGGGAGCGUUCUGUAAGCCGUUGAAGGUGUGCUGUGAGGCAUGCUGGAGGUAUCAGAAGUGCGAAUGCUGACAUAAGUAACGAUAAAGCGGGUGAAAAGCCCGCUCGCCGGAAGACCAAGGGUUCCUGUCCAACGUUAAUCGGGGCAGGGUGAGUCGACCCCUAAGGCGAGGCCGAAAGGCGUAGUCGAUGGGAAACAGGUUAAUAUUCCUGUACUUGGUGUUACUGCGAAGGGGGGACGGAGAAGGCUAUGUUAGCCGGGCGACGGUUGUCCCGGUUUAAGCAUGUAGGCGGAGGUUCCAGGUAAAUCCGGUACCUUUUAACGCUGAGGUGUGAUGACGAGGCACUACGGUGCUGAAGUAACAAAUGCCCUGCUUCCAGGAAAAGCCUCUAAGCAUCAGGUAACAUCAAAUCGUACCCCAAACCGACACAGGUGGUCAGGUAGAGAAUACCAAGGCGCUUGAGAGAACUCGGGUGAAGGAACUAGGCAAAAUGGUGCCGUAACUUCGGGAGAAGGCACGCUGAUAUGUAGGUGAAGCCCCUGCGGGUGGAGCUGAAAUCAGUCGAAGAUACCAGCUGGCUGCAACUGUUUAUUAAAAACACAGCACUGUGCAAACACGAAAGUGGACGUAUACGGUGUGACGCCUGCCCGGUGCCGGAAGGUUAAUUGAUGGGGUUAGCGGCAACGCGAAGCUCUUGAUCGAAGCCCCGGUAAACGGCGGCCGUAACUAUAACGGUCCUAAGGUAGCGAAAUUCCUUGUCGGGUAAGUUCCGACCUGCACGAAUGGCGUAAUGAUGGCCAGGCUGUCUCCACCCGAGACUCAGUGAAAUUGAACUCGCUGUGAAGAUGCAGUGUACCCGCGGCAAGACGGAAAGACCCCGUGAACCUUUACUAUAGCUUGACACUGAACACUGGUCCUUGAUGUGUAGGAUAGGUGGGAGGCUUUGAAGCGUGGACGCCAGUCUGCGUGGAGCCGUCCUUGAAAUACCACCCUUUAAUGGCUGGUGUUCUAACGUAGACCCGUGAUCCGGGUUGCGGACAGUGUCUGGUGGGUAGUUUGACUGGGGCGGUCUCCUCCCAAAGAGUAACGGAGGAGCACGAAGGUUAGCUAAUCCUGGUCGGACAUCAGGAGGUUAGUGCAAUGGCAUAAGCUAGCUUGACUGCGAGAGUGACGGCUCGAGCAGGUGCGAAAGCAGGUCAUAGUGAUCCGGUGGUUCUGAAUGGAAGGGCCAUCGCUCAACGGAUAAAAGGUACUCCGGGGAUAACAGGCUGAUACCGCCCAAGAGUUCAUAUCGACGGCGGUGUUUGGCACCUCGAUGUCGGCUCAUCACAUCCUGGGGCUGAAGUAGGUCCCAAGGGUAUGGCUGUUCGCCAUUUAAAGUGGUACGCGAGCUGGGUUUAGAACGUCGUGAGACAGUUCGGUCCCUAUCUGCCGUGGGCGCUGGAGAAUUGAGGGGGGCUGCUCCUAGUACGAGAGGACCGGAGUGGACGCAUCACUGGUGUUCGGGUUGUCAUGCCAAUGGCACUGCCCGGUAGCUAAAUGCGGAAAAGAUAAGUGCUGAAAGCAUCUAAGCACGAAACUUGCCCCGAGAUGAGUUCUCCCUGAGACUUUAAGUCUCCUGAAGGAACGUUGAAGACGACGACGUUGAUAGGUCGGGUGUGUAAGCGCAGCGAUGCGUUGAGCUAACCGAUACUAAUGAACCGUGAGGCUUAACCUU
rnacentral:rRNA from 1 species